UACGGAGGGUGCAAGCGUUAUCCGGAUUCACUGGGUUUAAAGGGUGCGUAGGCGGACAGGUAAGUCAGUGGUGAAAUCUCUGGGCUUAACUCAGAAACUGCCGUUGAUACUAUUUGUCUUGAAUGUCAUGGAGGUAAGCGGAAUAUGUCAUGUAGCGGUGAAAUGCUUAGAUAUGACAUAGAACACCGAUAGCGAAGGCAGCUUACUACAUGAAGAUUGACGCUGAGGCACGAAAAGCGUGGGGGAGCAAACAGG
rnacentral:rRNA from 1 species